rnacentral:tRNA from 1 species
GGGUAUUUGGUUUAGUGGUAUGAUUCUCGCUUUGGGUGCGAGAGGUCGUGAGUGUCGUGAGUUCAAUUCUCACGACACCUC